rnacentral:lncRNA from 1 species
CUUUACCUUGCUUCCAUUUUCUCUACUCAAACCUUUCUUCUUGGAGCCAUACUUUUUUCUUUUCAUGAAUCUUUUAAAUCUUUUUGUAAUCAUGACCACUUAAUUAUCAUUUUUAGAUUUUUCCAAUAUGUCACUCUCUACAUCUUUAUUGGCCAUUGACUUCAAUGCAAUUGUUCUCCUUUUUUUUGUUUCUUCUUCCACAUUCUGAUUCAUUCUUGACUCAUGAGUCAUAAGUGAGCCGAUAAGUUCUUCCAAAAAUAAUCUGUGGAGAUCUCUAGCUUCUUAGAUUGUAGUCACCUUUGCUGCCUAAUUCUUUGAUAAUGAUCUGAGAAUUUUUUAAACAAGCUCGCUAUUAAUGUAGUCCUUGCCAAGACUUUUUAAAUUAUUUAUAAUAUUAAUAAAUCUAGUAAAUAUAUCAGUAAUACUUUUACUAUAUUCUAUUUUAAA